rnacentral:lncRNA from 1 species
UCUUCAGUUCAGUGACUCGAAACUUGUGGGGGAAUGGAAGCCUCAACUAUGGAACAAGUUCUGCAAAUUCCAAUGCAUACAUUGGAUCAGGAAGUGGGAAUGUUGGAGGAAAUGCAUUUGGCAAUACUGGUGUCAACUGGAGUUCUUCGCCGAUUUCUGGACAUGGUGGCGGGAACAAUGUGUCACAGGGUAGUGGCAAUCUUGGAUAUGGAGGUGGCAACAACGGUUAUGGAUUGGGGACUGAAGGGUAUGGAAGAAGCAGUGGUUCCACUCUCGCACCAACAUCUUCAUACUCUACAUCAAAUGGUGGUGGUGUAGAUGGGGCUUUUGCUGAUUUUUACAACAACAAUUCGGUCUACGGGGACACCACUUGGCGAUCUUCAAAUUCUGAGAGAGAUGGAUCUGGUCCCUUCGGUUACGGACUUGGUGGUGCACCUUCGGAUGUUUCUGCCAAGACUUCUCCCGGUUAUGUUGGUGGUUAUACUGUUAAUAAAAGGCAGCCAA